GACGAACGCUGGCGGCGUGCUUAACACAUGCAAGUCGAACGAAGUGGCGAACGGGUGAGUAACGCGUAAUCACCCUGCCCUUCAGAGGGGGACAACAGUUGGAAACGACUGCUAAUACCGCAUCCUGACGGAGGGGAUUGCGUCUGAUUAGCUAGUUGGAGGGGUAACGGCCGACCAAGGCGAUGAUCAGUAGCCGGGGUGAGAGGAGGAACGGCCACAUUGGGACGGGGACACGGCCCAGACUCCUAAGGGAGGCAGCAGUGGGGAAUCUGCCGCAAUGGAGGAAAGUCUGACGGAGCAAAGCCGCGUGAGUGAUGACGGCCUUCGGGUUGUAAAGCUCUGUUAAUCGGGACGCGGUACCGGAAGAGAAAGCCACGGCUAACUACGUGCCAGCAGCCGCGGUAAUAC
rnacentral:rRNA from 1 species